rnacentral:rRNA from 1 species
CCUACGGGAGGCAGCAGUAGGGAAUAUUGGUCAAUGGGUGAGAGCCUGAACCAGCCAUGCCGCGUGCAGGAAGAAGGCCUUCUGGGUUGUAAACUGCUUUUGCCAGGGGAUAAAAUGCCCUUGCGAGGGAAAUUGAAGGUACCUGGUGAAUAAGCCACGGCUAACUACGUGCCAGCAGCCGCGGUAAUACGUAGGUGGCAAGCGUUGUCCGGAUUUAUUGGGUUUAAAGGGUGCGUAGGCGGUCCCUUAAGUCAGUUGUGAAAUACGGCAGCUUAACUGUCGAGGUGCAAUUGAUACUGGAGGACUUGAGUACAGACGAGGUAGGCGGAAUUGACGGUGUAGCGGUGAAAUGCAUAGAUAUCGUCAAGAACACCGAUAGCGAAGGCAGCUUACUAGACUGUAACUGACGCUGAGGCACGAAAGUGUGGGGAUCAAACAGGAUUAGAUACCCUGGUAGUC